AAUCUUACGAAUUACUUUCACAAUAUCUUGAAGCAAUUAAGAGGAAAAAUUCAGGUACCGAAUAUGAAAUAGUGUCUAAAACAAUCACGCCGGGAGUGGAGAGGUUCAUGCGAGUAUUUUGGGUAUUUGGACCCGCUAUCAAAGGGUUCUCUUUUUGUCUUCUACUCUUCAGCAUCGAUGACACCCAUUUAUAUGGAAAGUACAAAGGAGUACUCUUGGUUGCGACCGAUGUAGAUGCAAAUGGUGGGUUAUUUCCAAUAGCUUUCGUAGUUGUGGAGGUGGAGGAUCCAUCAAGUUGGAAGUGAUUUUUAAUGUAUUUACAGAUACAUCCCUACUGUUUAAAGUUCAAGAACGAUACUUUUAUUACUGACCAGAUGAAAGGAAUUCCACGAGCCUUGCACGAGGGGUGGAGUGCACCACAUCAUCACUGGUAUAUACACUAUGCUUCCCGGGCCAGUUAGUGAUGACGUCCUCUAUGAUCAGUCACGCCACCGUUCAGAGAGUAUAUCAUUUACAUUGAGAGGACCAGAGUUAGUUAUGAUUGAUCAUAGCCCUGGACAUACGCGUUGGCCACUUGAAGAUCAGCGUAUCAUUGCUCUAGUAGCCCAAGCAGGUUUUCUCACAUGCUCAAAAUUAUGGUGGAUGAAGCUCGAUUGUGUACUACUUAAUACAUUGAUGGAUAGGUGGAGACCAGAGACUAACACUUUCCAUCUACGUGUCGGCGAGGCGACUAUUACUCUCUAGGACAUAGCAGUGAUCCUUAGUCUCCGCAUUGAUGGCCCUUGUGUUAUGGAGACUGAUAGGCAUGUGUGGCGCCGAGUCUGUAAUGAUUUGUUAGGACUAUCUCUAGAGUCCUUACCUUGGUGAUAUAUUAGAUUGAAGUGUCUAAAAGAAAAUUUCGCAAACCCCUUGCUAGAAGAUGCAUCCCAAGUCAUGAUCCAGCAGCAUACUCGUGCAUAUAUUUUGCACAUGAUCAGGACACUUCAUUUUUCCGAUUCAAGUAAACAUAAAGUACAUUUGAAGUACAACUUAUUAUUGUUAUAAUGCACUAUCUGAAGAUGUUUUUGCUAUAUUUUUACUCAUUAUUGUUAUAAAAUACGACUAAACGCAUUUGCCAUGUGAUAGGUGGUUACCGCUUCUCCAAGACUUUGACAGGUGCGGGACAUUAUCAUGGGGUAGUACUGUUUUAGCAUACCUAUAUAGAGAAAUAUCGAAGGUUGCUUUUAUGCAAUAUAAAGAGCUCAAAGGAUGUUUGACAUUGUUAUAAGUUUGGGCAUAGGAGAGAUUGGUUUUGAGACUGAGAUUAUGCGAGACGCGAGAUUUAGAUGGAUAGAUUCCACUAGGAUGCAGAUGGAAUCUCACUAAAGCAUACGAUGAGGCCCCGGCAAGACAGUUAGAUUUCGACAGAGGAGAGCUCGAUCGGAUGAAAAUUUAGGAGAACUCGAAUUUGAAUUUAAGUUAUUUAAUGCUACUGAUAUAUUUUAAAGAGUUAUUAAUAUAUGGAAUAUUUUAUAAUUCGAGUGGCAGCCAUACGCACUUUAACUACCUCGUCUACCACUGAUUUGUAUAAAGGGACACGAUAUAUGGAGAGCCAGAGUUCCUCUCAUAUGUUUCAAAAUUAUGGAGAUGCAUGUGCCGAAUCGUAUGCUUAGACAGUUUGGUUUCUCACAACACGUUCCACAAUAUGUCAAAAAAUAUAGAGAAAGGCAUUUAAGGGUAGGCUUCACAUUGACUGGCGGAUUGUGCAUCAUCCCUACAUUGCUAGAUGGAAUAAUUAGCAUGGGAGCAUUGUCGUGCAGCUUUAUCCUCCGAUGGAGGAAGUCGAUUAUAUUAGAUGGUAUUGGGGGAUUACCAGACGGUGGAUAAUCACUCAAACCAUGCCUCUAGUCAACGAAAUCGAGAUACGCUCCCAACAAGCAAGAUAUGUACCAAGAAGUGUAGAUGAGAGAGAAUGGAUAGACGCUAUGGAUGAGAUAGAGGGGAUUGCAAAUGAGGGCAUAGCUACCACCACAGGAGAUUCAGUACAUGUAUUGGUAUUGCAUCGGAUAGUGGCGAGGGUUCGUAGAUCUCUUCAUCAAAACUCAUGAGGAUCGGCAUGAAGGUCGCAAGCAUAUGGCGCAUGAGGAGAGGGUAUAUGCACGCCGAUGAAGACGUGGUAGAUCUUACACGCACGACAAUGGAGCUGGUCCAUCACAGCCCCACACACAACCAGAGAGCGAGCACAUACAAGCUCAAGUCGAAGGAGGCCGCUGACGAUCUGAACGGGUACGAAGAGGGAGAAAACGGGGGAGGGGCGGACUUUUAGGUUGUUAGCUUUUCUACUUAGACUAUAUAUUGUCGUAUGGAUAGACUUGAUACAUUUGGAUUUGUUUAGAGCAUUUUGUCAUA